AAAAAGACACCACACGAAAUUCAUCUUCUUUUAUUGUACUUUGCUUAAAAGGAAAAAGGAAAGCCAAACAGAGAGACGAGCCGAAAUUUGGAGCUUGGAGUUGAGAACUGAAACUAGGAAGAAAGGCGGUGGUUCAGUUUUGAGGAAUUUUCACCCCGAGGAAUCCAAGACCUUCAGUCCAAACAGCAAUUUCUGGGGAGGUAGAUUAUGGGGUGGUGCAGAAGGAGUGUAAUUGGGUGAAUAUUUCAGAAGGACAGUAACAAGGUGACGUGGUGACUGUGGACAGUGUUCCUGAUAAGCAGACAUUUAAGUUUUUGCACUAAAAGAGAAAGAGUCUUCCAUUUGUAAUUCAAUUUUAAUUAAGAACUUGGGAGAGGCUGGUUUCUUUUUCACUUGAAAUAAUAGAAUAUUUUAGGAAGUUUCUGAUGCCUGACCUAAAGACCUCUCAUCCUUUUCCAAGAUAGAGAAUAAAAUACUUCCAAACUA